rnacentral:pre_miRNA from 1 species
AAUGUAUGAUGCCGUUGACUUUUUGUCCAACGUUUGACCAUUCGUCUUAUUUAAAAAAUUUAUGCAAUUAUUAUUUAUUUUAUUGUGACUUGAUUCAUUAUCAAAUGUUCUUUAAGCAUGACAUAAAUAUUUUCACAUUUUCAAAUUUUUUUUAAUAAAACGAAUGGUCAAACGUUAGUAAAAAAGUCAACGGCGUCAUACAUU